UACGAAGGGAGCUAGCGUUGUUCGGAAUUACUGGGCGUAAAGGGCGCGUAGGCGGCUCGACAAGUUGGAUGUGAAAGCCCAGGGCUCAACCCUGGAAUUGCAUUCAAGACUGUCUUGCUUGAAUUCGGUAGAGGUUGGUGGAAUUCCCAGUGUAGAGGUGAAAUUCGUAGAGAUUGGGAAGAACACCCGUGGCGAAGGCGGCCAACUGGACCGACAUUGACGCUGAGGCGCGAAAGCGUGGGGAUCAAACAGG
rnacentral:rRNA from 1 species